AGGGUAACAUUGUGCUUGCACAGAUGACGACCGGCGCACGGGUGCGUAACGCGUAUAGAACCUACCUUUUACAGAGGAAUAGCCUUUAGAAAUGAAGAUUAAUGCCUCAUGGUAUUGUAGACUGGCAUCAGUUUAUAAUUAAAGAUUUAUCGGUAAAAGAUGGCUAUGCGUCCUAUUAGUUAGUUGGUAAGGUAACGGCUUACCAAGACAGCGAUAGGUAGGGGUCCUGAGAGGGAGAUCCCCCACACUGGUACUGAGACACGGACCAGGCUCCUACGGGAGGCAGCAGUGAGGAAUAUUGGACAAUGGAGGAGACUCUGAUCCAGCCAUGCCGCGUGUAGGAAGAAUGCCCUAUGGGUUGUAAACUACUUUUAUACAGGAAGAAACACUGGUAUGUAUACCAGCUUGACGGUACUGUAAGAAUAAGGACCGGCUAACUCCGUGCCAGCAGCCGCGGUAAUACGGAGGGUCCGAGCGUUAUCCGGAAUCAUUGGGUUUAAAGGGUCCGCAGGCGGUCGAUUAAGUCAGAGGUGAAAUCCCAUAGCUCAACUAUGGAACUGCCUUUGAUACUGGUUGACUUGAGUCAUAUGGAAGUAGAUAGAAUGUGUAGUGUAGCGGUGAAAUGCAUAGAUAUUACACAGAAUACCGAUUGCGAAGGCAGUCUACUACGUAUGUACUGACGCUGAGGGACGAAAGCGUGGGGAGCGAACAGGAUUAGAUACCCUGGUAGUCCACGCCGUAAACGAUGGAUACUAGUUGUUGGGAUUUAUCUCAGUGACUAAGCGAAAGUGAUAAGUUCCCCACUGGGGAGUA
rnacentral:rRNA from 1 species